GUGAAGCACUGAGGCAUGAGAACAUGAAGCCUGCAGGUGUCCAUGUGAGACCAGGGCCAGGGAGGGGAUAUAGGCUCUGAGGGAGCACGUACCAGGGGCCCAGAUGUCUGUAGGACGAGUGUCACAGAAGCUUCUUGGAGGAGGCGGUGGCUAAGCUGAGUUCUACAGGGAAUGCCUUCCAGGGAACAGCUGGAAACAGAAGGACCCCGGGAUUCCCCCUGCUCUGGGCUCUCAGGCUCCCCUGCAGGAUCGCAGCAUUGCCUGCAGGCAGAUGCCAGAAGAACUUUCUGCGAGGAUGGCGAUGUCCUGGAUGUUCUGUGCAAUGCCAUCUCUGCACCUCGGCUUGCCACGUGUAACCAUCAAGAACUUGAAAUGGGGCUAGUGUGACUGAGACACAGAAUUUGAAAUUCCGUUUAAUUAUAAGUCAUUUAAAUUGCCACACAUGGCUACCACGUUUGGCAGAGCAGAGCUGUACUGUGAGGUCUCCGUGUUUACCUUCAGGAGGAGAGAGCAUGUGGAGGAUUGUGCCUGCCUGCC
ensembl:lncRNA